UCAAAUAGCAUCUGAUGAAUAUUUGCAUACAUGACCCUAUUUUUUUAUCCUGCUCAUGUCUUGAUGGUACUUAUGAACUGCAGCAGUCAGCAGAUAUGCAAUUCUGCUUUGGCUUCCUUCUUCCAUGCAGAAACUGAAUUGCACCAAUAAUCCAAUACCAUGUAAUACUUGUUUAAAAAGUGGAUAUUUGAGAAAAUCAACUGCAGGCCUGCAGUAGUAGCAGAAGCAAAAAAAUAUUUGGAAUCUAUGCCUAAAUGCAUAUAUGGUUUCUUUUACUUAUUUCUCAAAGAGCUGUUGGUUUUCUUUUAUGAAUGGAGAAAGAAAUCAUGGACAUAUAGCAUUAAUGGACAAUUGGACAUAUAGCAUUGAUUAGCCAGUUUUCUUUUACUUAUUAAUUUAUUCUUUUUUCUUGCGGAGUAUGGAGACUCACCUUUGAGCAUUGAUUAGCCAGUUUCGUUCACGAUGCAUUAUUUGUGUGAGAAUUAGUGGUGCAAUUGUUUUCUAGCUGGUGCAAUUGUUUUCUUUGGUAACUGAGACUUGCAGAACUAGGACCAAAAGACAUAGUACUCAAGGCUGAAGUAGACAAUUUGCUGCCCUUUUGUUUUUUAAUAUUUGGUACUUAAUAGCAUAAAAGGCUGGAGUU